AGAACAAAAACUGGCAAGUCGACGAGAGACCUUCGGGUCUCUAGUGGCGAACGGGUGAGUAACACGUAGGGAACCUGCCCGCGCACCGGGAAUACGCUCUGGAAACGGAGAACAAAUCCCGAUGUACAGGAAGGAGGCAUCUUCUUUCUGUGAAACAUCCUUUAGGGGAUGGGGCGCGGAUGGACCUGCGGUGCAUUAGUUGGUUGGCGGGGUAAAGGCCCACCAAGACGAUGAUGCAUAGCCGGCCUGAGAGGGCGGACGGCCACAUUGGGACUGAGACACGGCCCAGACUCCUGCGGGAGGCAGCAGUAGGGAAUUUUCGUCAAUGGGCGCAAGCCUGAACGAGCGAUGCCGCGUGAGUGAAGAAGGCCUUCGGGUCGUAAAGCUCUGUUGCGGGGGAAAAAAGGCAGCAUCAGGAAAUGGGUGCUGACUGAUGGUGCCCCGCCAGAAAGUCACGGCUAACUACGUGCCAGCAGCCGCGGUAAUACGUAGGUGGCGAGCGUUAUCCGGAAUGAUUGGGCGUAAAGGGUGUGUAGGCGGGAAUGCAAGUCAGAUGUGAAAACUAUGGGCUCAACCCAUAGCCUGCAUUUGAAACUGUAUUUCUUGAGUGCUGGAGAGGCAAUCGGAAUUCCGUGUGUAGCGGUGAAAUGCGUAGAUAUACGGAAGAACACCAGUGGCGAAGGCGGCCGCCUGUUCUGUUGUUGACCCUGAGGCACGAAAGCGUGACGAGCAAAUAGGAUAAAUACCCCA
rnacentral:rRNA from 1 species